rnacentral:rRNA from 1 species
ACGGCUCAGUAACACGUGGAUAACCUGCCCCUGGGUCCGGCAUAACCCGGGGAAACUGGGGAUAAUUCCGGAUAACGCACAUAUGCUGGAAUGCUUUAUGCGUAAAAUGGAUUCGUCUGCCCAAGGAUGGGUCUGCGGCCUAUCAGGUAGUAGUGGGUGUAAUGUACCUACUAGCCAACAACGGGCACGGGUUGUGAGAGCAAGAGCCCGGAGAUGGAUUCUGAGACAUGAAUCCAGGCCCUACGGGGCGCAGCAGGCGCGAAAACUUUACAAUGCGGGAAACCGUGAUAAGGGGACACCGAGUGCCAGCAUCAUAUGCUGGCUGUCCGGGUGUGUAAAAUACACCCGUUAGCAAGGGCCGGGCAAGACCGGUGCCAGCCGCCGCGGUAACACCGGCGGCCCGAGUGGUGAUCGUGAUUAUUGGGUCUAAAGGGUCCGUAGCCGGUUUGGUCAGUCCUCCGGGAAAUCUGACGGCUCAACCGUUAGGCUUUCGGGGGAUACUGCCAGGCUUGGAACCGGGAGAGGUAAGAGGUACUACAGGGGUAGGAGUGAAAUCUUGUAAUCCCUGUGAGACCACCUGUGGCGAAGGCGUCUUACCAGAACGGGUUCGACGGUGAGGGACGAAAGCUGGGGGCACGAACCGGAUUAGAUACCCGGGUAGUCCCAGCCGUAAACGAUGCUCGCUAGGUGUCAGGCAUGGCGCGACCGUGUCUGGUGCCGCAGGGAAGCCGUGAAGCGAGCCACCUGGGAAGUACGGCCGCAAGGCUGAAACUUAAAGGAAUUGGCGGGGGAGCAC